UACGUAGGGUGCAAGCGUUGUCCGGAAUUAUUGGGCAUAAAGAGCUCGUAGGCGGUUUGUCGCGUCUGCUGUGAAAUCUGGGGGCUCAACCCCCAGCCUGCAGUGGGUACGGGCAGACUAGAGUGCGGUAGGGGAGAUUGGAAUUCCUGGUGUAGCGGUGGAAUGCGCAGAUAUCAGGAGGAACACCGAUGGCGAAGGCAGAUCUCUGGGCCGUAACUGACGCUGAGGAGCGAAAGCAUGGGGAGCGAACAGG
rnacentral:rRNA from 1 species